rnacentral:lncRNA from 1 species
CCAAGGUCACUCAUUUUCUUCUCCAAUCUAACCUUGGUGAAGAUACUUAGAGGUUCUCAAUUUUGGGAACUUGGAGAAACCUUUCCAUCCAUCCAAAUCCAUAGAUUUUAGAUGCAAGGAAUGAAGGCCCUCUCUUUGGGUGAUUAGCCUUGCAAAGAGGAAUCUACAAAGGUAUAUAUAAAUUUCAACUCACUAUGUUUUGAGUUGAUUCUUGGUUCACCAAUCUACUAGGGUUUGAAUUUCUUGGUUAAUGUUUUGUUUUUAAGUGCAUGCAAGCAUGGUUCCGCCUUUAAUUGUUAAUUGCAUGCUUAUAGAUGUUGUUUAAAUGAACAUGUUUUCACAAAAUCAUCCUUCAAGUGGUAUAAGAGCCUAGGUCUAGUAGUUGGUGAAUCCUUUUGGGUUUUGUAGUUCAUAGUUUGUGAUUUAAAAGUUGUAAUAUGUUACAAGCUAUAUUCUUGUUUCUUUGAAUGUAAAUUUUGUUAGAAAAUUUUCCAUCUCAAAUGUUGUAGAUGUAGUUCAUAUGAGCAUGAAUAUUGGAGCUAAAAUUUGGUGACAUGCUUUUGGGAAUUUUCGGCCAAAUCCAAAGGGUGGAUUUUUGGGUUCUUGUUUGACUUGUUAAAAGUGUUUUCAAGUAACUUUUGGAACCCCUAUGUACCCUAGUUUGGUUAUAUGUUAUUUCCCUAAAGUUUGAAUGGUUUUGGGAUGUUUUUGGGGUAAAAAUGUUCAUGGAAAAAUUUUGGGUUUUUUCAUGAGUGUUCUUCAUUGUUCUUGACAUUUUUGCCAAGAACAUAAAGUUUGGUGUUUUGAUUCAAAGUUUUGAUUUAUUUCAUAAAGCUUAUGUUUUAUGUUUUUCAAAUGUUUAAUUGCAUUAGAUAUUUGUUUAAAUGGUGUAAGAAAUAUUGGUGGGUAAGGAUUAAUUUCCUUUCACACACACCACUUGCACCACUUGAUUGCUUUAUGUC